GACGAACGCUGGCGGCGUGCUUAACACAUGCAAGUCGAACGGAAAGGCCCUGCUUUUGUGGGGUGCUCGAGUGGCGAACGGGUGAGUAACACGUGAGUAACCUGCCCUUUACUUUGGGAUAACUUCAGGAAACUGGGGCUAAUACCGGAUAGGUGCUCCUGCUGCAUGGUGGGGGUUGGAAAGUUUCGGCGGUUGGGGAUGGACUCGCGGCUUAUCAGCUGGUUGGUGGGGUAGUGGCUUACCAAGGCUUUGACGGGUAGCCGGCCUGAGAGGGUGACCGGCGACAUUGGGACUGAGAGACGGACCAGAGUCGUACGGGAGGCAGCAGUGGGGAAUAUUGCACAAUGGGCGGAAGCCUGAUGCAGCAACGCCGGGUGCGGGAUGACGGCCUUCGGGUGGUAAACCGCUUUCGGCUGUGACGAAGCGUGAGUGACGGUAAUGGGUAAAGAAGCACCGGCUAACUACGUG
rnacentral:rRNA from 1 species